GUGCACCAGGCGAGAAUCUUCCACAAUGGACGAAAGUCUGAUGGAGCGACGCCGCGUGCGGGAUGAAGGCCUUAUGGGUUGUAAACCGCUGUCAGGGGGGAAGAACAUCGGAAUGAACAAUACUCAUUCCGACUGACGUUACCCCCAGAGGAAGCUCCGGCCAACUCCGUGCCAGCAGCCGCGGUAAUACGGGGGGGAGCAAGCGUUGUCCGGAAUUAUUGGGCGUAAAGGGCGUGUAGGCGGCGAGGUAAGUCGAAAUGUGAAAAUCUCACGGCUCAACCGUGAAAACUGCGUUCGAAACUACCCUGCUUGAGUACGGGAGAGGUGUACGGAAUUCCUGGUGUAGCGGUGGAAUGCGUAGAUAUC
rnacentral:rRNA from 1 species